rnacentral:rRNA from 1 species
GAUGAACGCUGGCGGCGUGCUUAACACAUGCAAGUCGAACGGUGAAGCAGGAGCUUGCUCUUGUGGAUCAGUGGCGAACGGGUGAGUAACACGUGAGCAACCCGCCCCUGACUCUGGGAUAAGCGCUGGAAACGGCGUCUAAUACUGGAUAUGUGAUGUGACCGCAUGGUCUGCAUCUGGAAAGAAUUUCGGUUGGGGAUGGACUCGCGGCCUAUCAGCUUGUUGGUGAGGUAAUGGCUCACCAAGGCGUCGACGGGUAGCCGGCCUGAGAGGGUGACCGGCCACACUGGGACUGAGACACGGCCCAGACUCCUACGGGAGGCAGCAGUGGGGAAUAUUGCACAAUGGGCGGAAGCCUGAUGCAGCAACGCCGCGUGAGGGAUGACGGCCUUCGGGUUGUAAACCUCUUUUAGCAGGGAAGAAGCGAAAGUGACGGUACCUGCAGAAAAAGCACCGGCUAACUACGUGCCAGCCGCCGCAGUAA